rnacentral:ncRNA from 1 species
UUAUUCAGGUAUCACUGUUAAUCUGUGGUUUAAUAGGGAAGCGGAUGAGAUUUUCGCACGAACCUGUCACCGUGAAGAUGCUUGCUUUGCAUUAUGUCACUGCCAAAAGCGGGAAGGCGUAAAGCAUAUGAGUCCAAGUCGGGAGACCUGCCUGAAAU